UAUCUUAAUUUGUGUUCUGAAGAUGAAUGAAGGUCUUACAAGUUUGGAAUGACAUGAGGGUAAUUAAUGACAGAAUUUUCAUUUUUGGGUGAACUAACUUUUAAGUCACCAGCCAUCGGCAGGUGUGGCAAAAAGUUUUAGGCCCUGUACAUAUAUGUGUGUGUGUGUGUGUGUGUGUGUGUUUAAAUUAUUAUUUUACUGUCUUUUAUUUAACUGCUUUAUUAAACUGCCCUCGGUCUCCCUUAAACAAUCCACAGUGUCCUCCAGAGUAUUAAAUCAAGCAUGCAGUGUUAAUUACAUUCAGGGAUCUCAACCUGGCCGUCACAAUAACACUAUAAUAACAGCAUGACUUCACAGAUGCCGAGUCUCUAGGAGCCCAGGAAGAAAAGCAGAUGGCUCACCUGGUGAUGACAUAAGGGGUGAAACAGACGACAAAGGUUCCGAUGAAGGCCAAAGUGUCACUCAAGGUUUCCCCCCGACAGCUAAGUGGCUCGGACCUCCCUUUUAAACCUGAGAACGCACCUGUUUCACUUGCACAGGCAGAGUUUGAACCAUGACAUGGCGGAGGGCAGCACUGCCAUCAGACUGAACUUAAUGCCAGGCAGUAAUGGUGGCUCUUUAGUCAAACCUGAAGUCCUGGGGUACCACAGCGCUUCCUGUGCAGGCUGCGUUGUGAUGCUGAAAUAUGCAGGUGUAUAGACCAAAACAGACUGAUGAGCAAGUGCAUCUCCUAGAGGCAAUUACAAACAUCUAAAGAGAAAACAGACACACAGGUUUGGUACCCAUUGGGGAAGUCCGUUUCCUGGCACUGAACCAAUGCAAAAGCCACAUUAAACCUACCAACCUCAAAAUCUAACAGUAUUCCAUUUACAACUAAUCAAACAUUUACAGAAGUGCAGCUCCAUCCAGAGAGAAUGAUUCAUCAACCACAAACCCCAUGUUCCCUUUCACCCCACAUCUCGUUAUUCACACUGUAUCUCAAUCUACCUAUGCAAAUGAGGCGCGAGGGCCGUAGAGAGCUGACUGGGAAAAGGAGAGAGAAUGAUAAACAAAUAUUCAUCCAUCCUGCUGAGGAAAUUAGAGGAAAGAAGGCUAGACAGAGAUUUGGGCCUGGUUAUAAUGCCAGGUUUGUGUGAGUGUGUGUAUGUGUGUGUGUCACUUUCUCUUGCUCUCUCCAUCUUUAGCGUGUGAAUUAUGCAUGUGGCAGUAGCCUGUCAGCACCGUAGAGGUGAAUUAACUGAGCACGUCGCAGCUUUUGUUAUAAAUCCCACUGCCUGGUUUUGUACCCGUUUUCCCAACAUUCUGUAUACCUGUGCGAUGACGGAUUAGCGCGCUGUUCAGAUUAAUGUCACCGCCCCGCGCCAGGUUCACUAGCGGGUAGAUGUGUGUGUGUGUGUGUGUGUGUGUGUGUGGGGGGGGGGGGGGGGGGUAGAUAUCUGAACCCCAG